rnacentral:rRNA from 1 species
GAUGGCUCACAAUCAGUCUGACCGGCGAACACGUUCAUCCGACCCACUGGGGAUGGGAUGAUCCCAUCCUCGUGUCGGGAUGCGGCCGCGCCCGGCGCGGCUUCCUCCCGAGAAAACACAAACCCCGGCGCCUCGUGCGCCAAGGAUCCCAAAAUUGUUCGGGGCGGCCCCGGGGGAGUUGGAGACAACGUCCCGCGGGCCCCGUCACAACACUCGAAAAGGAAUGACUCUCGGCAAUGGAUAUCUCGGCUCUUGCAUCGAUGAAGAACGUAGCGAAAUGCGAUACUUGGUGUGAAUUGCAGAAUCCCGUGAACCAUCGAGUCUUUGAACGCAAGUUGCGCCCGAAGCCAUUAGGCUGAGGGCAUGCCUGCCUGGGUGUCACACAUCGUUACCCCCACGCAAAGGUCCGCUGUCGGCCGGUGCGUGGCGUGCAUGCUGGCCUCCCGCGAGCGGCGUCUCUCGUGGUUGGUUGAAAAUCGUGUUCACGGCGGGGUGCGCGCCGCGAUGAAACGGUGGACGGGCAACGCCCGAGACCAAUCGCGCGCGAUCCUGUCCGGUGUGACCCUUGGACCCCUGCGGCGUCUCCGGAUGC